AAUUCACAAGAAUAGAACAGAACAUUGCAUGGUCUCCCACUUAACUGAAUAUUUUCCACUGAAACCACUGGCAAUCAUGUGCUAGGCUGUUACAGAAACAUCCAAAACCAUUUAUUGUGGUGGAUGGCUAAGUUGAGCAGUUAGUCUCUUUUCAAUUGUUUACUGGCUUCAGACCUGGAUUUUUGAGAUAAUCCAUAGCCUACCACCCAGAGCCGAAGCAGGUAUUUCAGCCAGCUGGACCUUGUGUUUUGACGGUACAGGUGACCCUUGAACAAGCACAUCAAACAAAACUACUUCAGCCAACUGUUUAAAACAGUUGGAAUUAGUGGGGAAAAAAGAAGAAGUGUGUGCUGUGUAGGGAACUCCUGAUGUAGGAGUUCAGCAGACACAAAGCCAGAAAUGUUUAGAGUUAAUCGUGUGAUGUCAGCAGUUAGAUAUCCUAGUCAUACUGAUCAGGGUUUGAUAAGGCUGCUGUUCUCUGUCACUUAUCUGGAUGUGAUAUCUAAGUUUGGAGAGAAGUGCAAAUAUGAAGUUGCUGCGCAACCCCUGAUAUGUAGCUGAUACGGGUCACAGUAACAACCCACAUGAUUGUCUGAACCUGAAGUUUCCCAGCAGAACAUUGCUCAGACCUUCACACUGCCUCUACCUGCUUGCCUUCUUCCCAUAGUGCAUCCUAGUGCCAUGUCUUCCUCUGGAAUGUCUGAGCUGGGGAUAAUGAAACUGUGGCUGUGUACUUUUAAGAAGGAAGCACUAUCUGACACCCAACCCUUCCUCUUCCUGCAGUAGGGCACAAUCCUUUCACAUGAAUGCAGAAAUUUAUCACAUGACAAAGUUUUCCCAUCCCACCCAAGAUGUGACUGAGUAGGUAACAGCAUUGAAAUCAUUUUUGCUUAACCACAACUUCCCCCUAUCACCGGUCGCAACUUCUGCUGAAACCAUCUUGCAACUACGGGUGACAGCAUUUCCUGUUGGAGUUUAUUUUUGCCCAUUUACCAUAAUGUAGGCACCGUAAUCAGAUGGCAUCAAAAAAUAGUAUGAAUGAGUCAAACGGAAAAAAGAGGUUUCUGCUGUGGGAAUGAACAGGUCCAGGGCCAAUGACCAUGAUGUUGAUUUUUAUUUCAAAAAAUUAAGCAAACCAAGCAUCUAGUUACACAGCAGCAGAGGAAUUUACUCUGGUCUAUGAUACCAUGAUUACAAGAGUAAGAGUUUUCUCGCUGGGUGGUUUCACCCUGACAUUGACCCAACCACUGGGUGUGAUCCUUUUCUCAGCAAACACACAACUGUCACAGAAGAAGUACAGAAGCUCUACUUAAGAGAGCUUUUAUUAUGUAUUUAUUUAUAUAGUAGAUGAUAUAUACAAAGGAAUAAAUAUUGACAUGUGAAAGCUGUACAAAUCGGUAGAGAGCUGUUAUUUAAUUCCCAUAUUGUAUGUUUAACGAGAAUUACUGAAAAUCUUAUAUAAUGAUUGUACCUCAAGGUAUUAUGAUUUUUCUCACAAGUAAGCCUCUGUGUUUAGAAUGAAAUCAUCAGUAGACUGGGUUUGGUGAUAAACAAGGAAGAGAAGGGAAUAUCUAAUGAAUAUCUGAUGACGAAAAGGGAAUAUCUGAGGAAUAUCUGAUGACGAAAAGGGAAUAUCUGAGGAAUAUCUGAUGAAGAAAAGGGAAUAUCUGAUGAAUAUCUGAUGAAGAAAAGGCAAUAUCUGAUGAAUCUAAUAUUCCAACUAACUUGUCAGAUGUAAUGAAUUUGGCUAAAACCACAGCUGAUGGGAUUUCCCCAGACAACAAUGUGACAGGUCCAUCCAUGACACGGUUAUUGCACACGCUAAUGUCGCC